UUAAAUUGAAGAGUUUGAUCAUGGCUCAGAUUGAACGCUGGCGGCAGGCCUAACACAUGCAAGUCGAACGGUAACAGGAAGCAGCUUGCUGCUUUGCUGACGAGUGGCGGACGGGUGAGUAAUGUCUGGGAAACUGCCUGAUGGAGGGGGAUAACUACUGGAAACGGUGGCUAAUACCGCAUAACGUCGCAAGACCAAAGAGGGGGACCUUCGGGCCUCUUGCCAUCAGAUGUGCCCAGAUGGGAUUAGCUUGUUGGUGAGGUAACGGCUCAC
rnacentral:rRNA from 1 species